rnacentral:misc_RNA from 1 species
UUUUUUUUUUUUUUUUUUUUUUUAACCAGAAAUGAUCAGAUAUAUUACAGAACCAAGAAAAGUACCUCAAAUGCUAAAUACAGUUCUUCAUCGCAGUUGUUUACAAAUAAAAAGUUGGGCUACAUAAGGAACUAUCAAACAACAGGAAAUAAAAAUAAAUAAAUAAAAUAAUAAUAAAAAAAGAAGGGUGUGGAUGAUGCCUGGAAUGGUAACAUGCUUUAUUUUGGUAUCACUAUGAGAAACAUCUAACUAGCAGAUGUUUCUGGCAUUGUAAAUGACACAAUUAUGACCCCAGAAGUCGAAUCAAUUUAAACAUUAAUGAAACCACCUCUGAAUUUCUAACCACGAAGGAGAUUGAUCAAGGGGGCCAAUGAUCGAUGGAGAGUAACUACUGGAGCUGAGCUCAGAAAACAGCAUGCCCUCCAUGAUAAUUCCAGCCGUGAAGUGUUAUCCGUGGGGUAACGCCUGGAGGAACCUCAAAAGAUAUCUUGAUGGGCAUCACCUCGCCUGGCACAAGUGAAAAAUAGUUGUCCGAGUAAUGAACAGGAAGAAUUCUUGUGUCUUCCCCUUCCUUGUGCUCUGUCUUCGAUGCAUGUACAGAGAAAUGAAGGAAAAAAGCAACUCCUUCUUCAGUACCAUUAAUUUCAGCAACCCUGAGACCAUCAGUUUCCCGUGAGAAAUGCCUGCAGAUCCUUUGAAAUAAACCAACUUCAUCUUUUUCUUUGGUUCCAAUGUUUACAGGUUCCAGAGAGGCCAUGUCAAAAUCAUCAUCACCCAGUCUGGUAAUGAAAUUAUUCUUAUAAGUAAAGCAUUUAGAAUCUGGUUUCUUAGAGGUAUUCUUCACAUGCAUUUCCAUUUCAUAAGUGGAUCCUUUAAUAAAAGUCCUUGAUGUUAUCUUGAGGGGAACUUUUCUCUUCCUGUAUGCCUCCAACAGCUUGUAAUCUCCACCAGGCAGAUGCAACCAGUAGAAGUUCCUAGAUAUAAUGCUGUAAUCUGACAUAUUGUAAAGCUUGAGAAGAAGAAAGUAGAGUGGCUUGGGCUUUUUAGAUUUCGGAUAGUUCAUCUCACCAAUGGACACUAUUUUCUUUGGUGGAACAGAGAGUUUGUCAAAAACUUUAUAAUAUGGGCAGGUUCCUGAUAGAUCCCAUACUGAUGCUUCGAUGGCUACAUCAGAGAGUUCUGCCGACUGGGUAUUAACAACCUCAAUAAAAUAUGUAGCUAGAUUCAGCUGGACAUGGAUUGGCUCAGCAGCACAACGACAACCAUAGAAACCUGCAGUCUGGUCAAGAAGAUGAUCAUAAAACUGGCCUCUCAAACCUGUCCAAGGAUUCUGAGUCUUCCAAAUUAAGAAACCAGUGUGUUUUCCCCACAUAUGAGAAGUAUAGCCCUCCACUAAAGCUCUAUACUGAAUGUAGUUUGCAAGCUGAGCCUUCAAACAAAAAUCAUCAAGAUCUGUUGGUGUCCCAUACAACAAGAUCUGAUCAUGAACCUUGCCUGGUUUUGAAUAAGGAAUAUAUUUAUGGUAUUCCCAUAUAGGGUUUGCAACUUCUUUUACAUAACCAUUGGGAAGCUUCCUAAAAAAUGGAAUUUGCCACCCUUCUGGAGGCAUCGUUGCUCUGAUUGUAGCAGCAACUGGCAUUCCCACAGAACCAACCUCAGGAUUGAAUCCAUACUUGUAAAAAUCAUCCCUAAAGAAGCUUUCAGGAUCUUGG